rnacentral:rRNA from 1 species
UACGUAGGGUGCAAGCGUUGUCCGGAAUUAUUGGGCGUAAAGAGCUCGUAGGCGGUCUGUCGCGUCGGCUGUGAAAACCCGGGGCUCAACCCCGGGCCUGCAGUCGAUACGGGCAGACUAGAGUGCGGUAGGGGAGACUGGAAUUCCUGGUGUAGCGGUGAAAUGCGCAGAUAUCAGGAGGAACACCGGUGGCGAAGGCGGGUCUCUAGGCCGUAACUGACGCUGAGGAGCGAAAGCGUGGGGAGCAAACGGG